CUUCUCUCUUCGAAACCCUUCUCCUUUCUCUCUUCGAAACCCUACAUCCACUUUGUUCUUCGACUUUGGGCGGGGGGGGGGGAGCCGAACUCUUCUCUUCCCUCCCCUCCCCAUUUUUUCUCUUUUCUUAGCUCAGUACUCUGUUUCCCGUUUGAUUUUGUUUUAGUUUUCGUUGUGUAGUUUGUGUUUUCAGGCAAAUAAGGAGGAGUGCCGACCGGGUUGCCUUCUAGCCGUCGUUCGCCAACAAGUGCCCCUCCAGGAGGUUCGCCAACCGCCAAUCUUCAAGUCCACCAAAUGCGGCGCCAAACGGAGUGGCGUGUAACUCGCACAAGCGGGACGAAGUCUCGGACGCUCUAGAGCGUGGCCGCCACGAGCCACCAGGGAGCUACCAAUCGUUUCAAAACUAGGCUUUUCUGGGACCUCAGACUUCGGGAAAGCACAUUCCGACCGUCGGCUCUCCUCCAGCUACUAUCGCACUACACCCUUUGUUUUUUGUGUCUUCCGCCCCCAUUUCAGUAGUUUGUGUUUUCAGGCAAAUAAGGAGGAGUGUCGACCGGGUUGCCUUCUAGCCGUCGUUCGCCAACAAGCGCCCCUCCAGGAGGUUCGCCAACCGCCGAUCUUCAAGUCCACCAAACGCGGCGCCAAACGGAGUGGCGCGUAACUCGCACACGCGGGACGAAGUCUCGGACGCUCUAGAGCGUGGCCGCCACGCGCCACUAGGGAGCUACCGACCGUUUCAAAACUGGGCUUUUCUGGGACCCCAGACUUCGGGAAAGCACAUUCCGACCGUCGGCUCUCCUCCAGCUACUAUCGCACUACACCCUCUGUUUUUUGUGUCUUCCGCCCCCAUUUCAAUGGGUCUGUUUUGGUGUCUGUUCUGUUUUAGUUUUUUCACUGCCUCUGCUGCCGUGAUUUGUGUUGGUUUUUGGUGUUUUUGUAUGUUUUAUUUGAAGUCCACGGUGAGGUGAUGAGCUGUUGGGCGACCUCAAUCUGAGGCAAAGAGUUGAGAGCAGCGGGCGAUGCUACGGUCGGUGUUCGUACGGCCGGCCUUCGCUGAGGAGGUUUUUGUGGUCCGUACGCAAGCUGGGUGCUCGUGCCGUUAGGGCUCAUUAUGCCGAUUGCCUGUGGAGGGUGUGCUGUCAAAACUCAAGUCGUGCUCGUGGUUGUGUUAUUUUUGUUUUUGUUGGUUUUGUUUUGUAGGUGUCUGUGUCUUUAGCUUUAGUCUAGGUAUAUGCUAUUGGACUAUUUGUUCAUAGUAUUUGUCUCCACAUUCCGCCUCCUUGGAGGUUAGAGGGGCAAUCUAGUCUCUGUCAUAUAGAGCAGUUACUCUCUCUUUUGAGAGUUUUAGAAGUUUUAGACAAUGUCCGUCACUUUGUGUGAGGGGAAGCUCCUGAGCAGUUGCGUUAGUUGAUUUUAUAGUCAGGUUCUCCUGAUUUAUAAGUCACAGUUAUAACUUCAUUUACUGAAUGAAUGCAAUGAAGCAUCUUUCCAUUAAAAAAAAAAAAAAAAAAAAAAAGACUCACUGCACUGCUGCUGCAGCUGGCCCAGAAUUAACUAGGGCGCACAACCUCGUCCAGAAUUAGCCAUGCUGACAGCACUGGAAAAGAGAGAGGAUUUCUGCAUUUCUUGACUCUUUUGGAUUUAAACUUUAACUAGAGAAGUUUUCUCGGAGCUGAGAGGAUUGUCUUGGGGUUGAAAGAUUAAAAGAAACUGAGAAAAAUGCAGGAAGGAGGGGAGGCACUCUAUUUGCGGGUUGCUCCAACAGUCAUCUGCGCUUUCGCUUAUGUGAUCUACUCCGACAUCGAUGUUCUAACCGAAACACCGUAUGGGAUACUAGUUUUCUGCGUGGUUGUGGUUAUAAUUGAAAUGAUGCUUCUGGCGGUUUUCUGCGUGGUUGAGGUUGUAAUGAUGCUUCUGCGGGUUCUUGUUUGGCUCCGGGAUACUUUUCUUGAAUUAAGCCGUGAAAUGUCUCGUAAGAUUGUUAAGAAUUCAGGAAAUAUUGCUCGAAUGUUGGACCCAAGGGCAUACUACUCUCGUUGCCAUUGCCAGGGAAAAAACUAGUGGUUUCAUGAUUCAAAGACUGAAACAUGAUGUCGUGAAACGAAUCCGUGAUGGAGUUUAUCAUGUCAAUGUAGAGAACACAGGAGAUGUCGUAUAUAGUGUUGCACCCCGAGAUAAUUCAAUAAGUAGAGAAUCCUACAAUUUGGCAGCAGCAUGCUCUAAUGAAUUUGUGUUGAAGAGUCUUUAUUAUUUCUAUCCGAACUACAACCAAGUUUGCCAUGUAAUGGAGUACUACCAGCAAAGUCUUGAGCAUUGGUUGCAAGAGAAUUCUCUCUUUGAUCAUCAAGUGAAAAAUCUGAAUCCAGAGUUUCUUCAGAUUAUUAGGGAUGUUCUGAGGGGCAUUGAUUAUCUCCACUCUAUGAAAAAGAGAUGUCAUCGAAAUUUAAGUACGUUAAAUAUUGUGAUCGUAAAUGGUCGAGCAAAGAUUACAGGAAUGGUAAAUGAUGCCGCAACCUCAAAGACUAAGCAAGAUGAUCAUUUGGAUUAUAAGCACUUCGCCAACAUUAUUAGGACUUGCUUUGGGAGCAAACAGCAAAAGAUUCCAACAGGACUUAAGUUGUUUCUUACCUAUAUUUCAAAAGAUUCAAAAUCGAGCCGUUAUGUGAAUAGACUACUUGAAACAUCUCUGUAUACAUAUACAUGCAUAAAAACAUACAUGGAUCUGACUUGAAAUAGCUAUCUCUAACUUUUCCUGGUCUGGUUCAGGUUGCUCAAUUUUGAAAAUCAUCCAAUAUUUCUAUCCCCUUUACAAAGAUUGUGCUACAGGGUGACUGCUUAUACGUUCUUGUAUUUUGGAAAAUCAAAAAAUUCCUUUGAGUUGACACUAAAUAAAAAGCUCCAAAAAUGCAAGUGGAAGGACAGGGUUGAUAAAUUUCAAGUGGUGCUUCAUUUCCGUGAAAAAAAACAACGGAGAAAAUUUCUGUAUGACCAGUCUGCCAUAUCUUUUAUGAGGUUUGCCAGAAAUGUCAUUGUGCAUCUUGAUGACAAUUUUAGUCAAGAUUUAGUUAGCAAGAAACUGACUGCAGAGGAGGUUGAGGAAGAGCUUAAUACAUGCAUGCCCAAGUUCAUGCCCAUCUUACAUGAAGUCCUUGUUGACCAUGGCCAUCUUAUGAUUGUACUUGAUGCGGUUCUCAAGUGAAACUAUUAGGAUAUUUCUCAGAAAUGGAUAUGAGACAGAUUUGUCGAUGUUAAUGCUUUGAUUAUCAUAUUGUUAUUACAUUUAUUUAUUCUUUCACUUUUUUCUGAGUGCUACUAUACCACAACUUCUAUUAUAAUCAUUUGGGUUGUAUCUAAUUUGUUUCUUAUUUGUUUA